GUUAGGAAUAUUGGACAAUGGGCGCAAGCCUGAUCCAGCCAUGCCGCGUGAGUGAUGAAGGCCUUCGGGUUGUAAAGCUCUUUAGUCCACGAAUAUAAUGACUGUAGUGGAAGAAUAAGCCCCGGCUAACUUCGUGCCAGCAGCCGCGGUAAUACGAAGGGGGCGAGCGUUAUUCGGAAUCACUGGGCGUAAAGCGUGCGUAGGCUGUUUUGUAAGUCAGAAGUGAAAGCCCAGGGCUUAACCCUGGAAUUGCUUUUGAAACUACAAGACUCGAAUUCGGGAGAGGAUAGCGGAAUUGUCAGUGUAGCAGUGAAAUGCGUAGAUAUUGACAGGAACACCAGUGGCGCAAGCGGCUAUCUGGACCGAUAUUGACGCUGAGGCACGAAAGCGUGGGGAGCAAACAGGAUUAGAAACCCGUGUAUCC
rnacentral:rRNA from 1 species